rnacentral:rRNA from 1 species
AUACGGAGGGUGCGAGCGUUAAACGGAAUUACUGGGCGUAAAGCGUACGUAGGCGGUUGGUUAAGUUAGAUGUGAAAGCCCCGGGCUUAACCUGGGAACUGCAUUUAAAACUGGCGAACUAGAGUUGAGUAGAGGGGAGUGGAAUUUCAGGUGUAGCGGUGAAAUGCGUAGAGAUCUGAAGGAACACCAGUGGCGAAGGCGACUCCCUGGACUCGAACUGACGCUGAGGUACGAAAGCGUGGGUAGCAAACGGGAUUAGAAACCCUAGUAGUCC